CGAGGGAAAUAGUUAGUUUUGUUUUCCCGAGAAUCUCAAUGUUUCGGAAACAUUGAGAUUCGAGGGGAAACAAAACUAACUAUUUCCCGA
rnacentral:miRNA from 1 species